rnacentral:rRNA from 1 species
UCAACGGCCGCGGUAUCUUGACCGUGCAAAGGUAGCAUAAUCAAUUGUUCUUUAAAUAAGGACUAGUAUGAACGGCAUCACGAGGGUUUAACUGUCUCCCUAUUUUAAUCAAUGAAAUUGAUCCCCCCGUGAAGAAGCGGGGAUAUAACUAUAAGACGAAAAGACCCCAUGGAGCUUUAAACUUAUUUUCAAUUACCAAAACCAAAACAUACACCCGGUAAAAAUGAUAAUCGUUUUCGGUUGGGGCGACCCUGGAGAAAAACAAAUCCUCCAAGCUGAAUAAAUUAAAAUUUAAUGUUAGAGCAACAACUCAAACAAUCAAAACCUUGACAAAAUGACCCAGAAUUCAUCUGAUCAACGAACCAAGUUACCCUGGGGAUAACAGCGCAAUCCAUUUCAAGAGCCCUUAUCGACAAAUGGGUUUACGACCUCGAUGUUGGAUCGGGGUAUCCUAGUAGCGCAGCCG